UACGAAGGGGGCUAGCGUUGCUCGGAAUCACUGGGCGUAAAGCGCACGUAGGCGGAUUGUUAAGUCAGGGGUGAAAUCCUGGAGCUCAACUCCAGAACUGCUUUUGAUACUGGCGAUCUCGAGUCCGGGAGAGGUGAGUGGAACUGCGAGUGUAGAGGUGAAAUUCGUAGAUAUUCGCAAGAACACCAGUGGCGAAGGCGGCUCACUGGCCCGGUACUGACGCUGAGGUGCGAAAGCGUGGGGAGCAAACAGG
rnacentral:rRNA from 1 species